CCCACUGUGCACUUGGUUACCAGGCUGACUCACACCCUGACGCUCCAGUCUCUGUGUAGGAAGUUAACAGCCAAAGCUCCUCCCACCUCUAAGAGCUCAGCCUCAAAGCCAAGAAUGGGGACAAGAAAACAGGCCGGAUGAAGCAGGAGCUCAGAACACCAGUAGAAAGUUCCAAGCCUGAGAACUUGCUUUCCACCCACAUCUGGCUGAGAUCUAUGGAUUGGGGGUGGAGUCUCUCCCACCGCUCUCCAAACCCUUCCAGACUGCAGCCUCUCAGCCCCCCUCACCACUCGUUAAGGAGGAUGGAGUACAAAGGAUCAGCUUGGAUGAGAAGGAGAAGAGAAUGUCAGUGUCACAGGUCACUUGCGUGGGAACACAGAGCCCUAGGCAGAAGACAGUGACUCAGAGCCCGGCCAGGUGAGUCAUCUGUGGACAGCAAAGCCCUCUCCACCGUCACGUCCCUCAGCACCGGAGUCCAACCACUUCUGGGAAGUGAAGCUGGAGCAGGUCUGUGUGGAGGAGGUAACUUCAUUGUUGGGAGCUAUUAAGACAACUCUAUUGUCUUGAUCUCCGAAUUGGGCCUCUCCCCCACCCCCAGAAGAAAAGGGGGUCAAAAGCAGGCCACCAACGCACGGUUCCAAGAACAACCACAGAAUGUUCCAGCCCUAAGUCAGCGCCAGAUGUCCUGACCUCAAGAUGUACCCUGAUACCACCAAGUUCCUGCUUCCCAGCGUAGUUGCCAAAAGAAAAAUUUCUGCUGCACCAUCCCUCCUGCUGAGAAGUACUUCCUCUUUUGCUUGUGCAUUUAAGCCUUGAGCCUUGCUGAAUAAAGUGAGACCUUGAUGC